rfam:Clostridium sp. CAG:470 genomic scaffold, scf21
UUUUCCCUGCAUAGUGCGUGUAGACAGAAUUUUUAGAACCUACAAGUUUGUAAGAGGAGCCAAUCUCAAAGUAUGGCGUGCAUGCUUGCAUUUUAUGUAAGAAGCCCAGGAAUAUUUUGGUAGGCACCCACCUGUUUUUAGGAGCAGGUCCUUAAAAAUUCAAGACAUCUUACGGCUAAGGCGGGGUAUUU